GACGUAGGGGGCCAGCGUUGUUCGGAAUUACUGGGUGUAAAGGGUUCGUAGGCGGUGUGGCAAGUCGGGAGUGAAAUUUCUGGGCUCAACUCAGAGACUGCUUCCGAAACUACUGUGCUGGAGUGUGGGAGAGGCGCGUGGAAUUGCAGGUGUAGCGGUGAAAUGCGUAGAUAUCUGCAGGAACACCCGUGGCGAAAGCGGCGCGCUGGACCACUACUGACGCUGAGGAACGAAAGCUAGGGGAGCAAACAGG
rnacentral:rRNA from 1 species